rnacentral:misc_RNA from 1 species
AAAAAAAGUCCAGUCAAAGGAAGAGCUUCAGAGAAUUGCAAAUCCACCCCUGUCUGAUGUAAAAGUAUGAGAGAUAUGUAUUUAGUGAUACAUAUACUGUUUACUACAUGGGUGUACAAAAAAUGUUCAUUCUUUUUAGGACUCCCUUUUACUGGUCAGGUCUGUCUUGAAAAGUUUUGUAGGACUUUAAAAAGGGUGUUCAUAAGAUGUCUUGGUUUUUUUUUAUAAACCAGGACAUCUGUGAUUGUUUAAGAAUUGUCCUCAAUCUUUUUGUCUAAAUUGGCUUAGUUAUAAAGCUGAACUGGUGCUGAAAAUCUAGCAUGAUAUUCGUAUGUUUGUCUGUGUUGAGCUAGCUAUCAUGUACAUCUGUUGUUCCUAAUUAUACAGUUAUCAAUUUCGAUUGUCAUGUCUUAAACUGUGAUUAAUCUGUAAUAAUAUAUCAUUCCAAGCUUUUAUUAUUAGGAAAACUUAAUUUCAAUAAGUAUUAACUCCAAAAUUUAUUAUCUAGUUACAUACAUGUAUAUAAUUUGUCAAAUUUUAUCAUAAAGAAAUGUGCUACGAACACAAUUUAAUUAUAUUUUUUAUAAGUUACUAUAGUUCUGCAAUUCUUUGUUUUCUUUUUCUUUAUUUGAAAAGGUGUGUUUUUUUUGGUUUAUUUAUUUUUGACCAAUUUUAUGAGCUUAAAUAUCUUAUUGAAGUCAUCUUUACUUUUUUGAUUUUUUUUUCAAGUACAUGUACAUAUUUCACGAUAUUUUUUAUAAUUUAAUAAUAAAUUCGCUGAAAUAAAUUUUUUUACAAAGAC